rnacentral:rRNA from 1 species
UACGUAGGGUGCGAGCGUUAAUCGGAAUUACUGGGCGUAAAGCGUGCGCAGGCGGCGCGUUAAGACAGGUGUGAAAGCCCCGAGCUUAACUUGGGAAUUGCGCUUGUGACUGGCGUGCUGGAGUGUGGCAGAGGGGAGGUGGAAUUCCACGUGUAGCAGUGAAAUGCGUAGAGAUGUGGAGGAACACCGAUGGCGAAGGCAGCCUCCUGGGCCAGCACUGACGCUCAUGCACGAAAAGCGUGGGGGAGCAAACAGG